UACGGAGGGUGCAAGCGUUAUCCGGAUUCACUGGGUUUAAAGGGUGCGUAGGAGGGCAGGUAAGUCAGUGGUGAAAUCCUGGGGCUUAACCCCAGAACUGCCGUUGAUACUAUCGGUCUUGAAUGUCGUGGAGGUGAGCGGAAUAUGUCAUGUAGCGGUGAAAUGCUUAGAUAUCGUCAAGAACACCGAUAGCGAAGGCAGCUUACUAGACUGUAACUGACGCUGAUGCACGAAAGUGUGGGGAUCAAACAGG
rnacentral:rRNA from 1 species